GUAAUCAAAUUUAAAACAACUCAAAGAAAUUUCAAACAAACAAUAAAAUUCUUAAAGAAAUAUUAGAAUGAUCACAAAUAUUACUCAAAUAUAUGUCAAUUCAACCUUAAUUUAAUUCUAGUUAAAACCCUAUUGAAUUUCACUCAAAUUUUAGACCAAACCUAAUUAAAUCUUAAAUCCUAAUAAAUCCUAAACCCUAAGUCAAAUCCUAAAUCCUAAGUCAAAUCCUAAACAAACCUUAAAUUAAACCCUAAAUCAAACCCUAUUUCAAACCCUAAACCUUAAACCAAACCCUAAACCAAACCCUAAACCAAACCCUAAAUCCUAAUCCAAACUCUAAUCCAAUCCUAAACUCUAAUCCAAACCCUAAACUCUAAACCAAACCUUAAAUCAAACCCUAACCAAAUCCUAAUCCAAACCCUAAAUCAAAUCCUAACCAAACCCUAAAUCCUAAUCCAAAUCCUAAUCCAAAUCCUAAAUCAAACCCUAACCAAACCCUAAAUCCUAACCCAAAUCCUAAUCCAAUCCUAAAUCCUAAUCCAAACCCUAAAUCAAACCCUAAUCAAACCUUAAUCCAAACCCUAAACUCUAAAUCAAAUCCUAAAUCGAACCCUAGUCAAAUCCUAAUCCAAAUCCUAGUAAUUCCUAUGACAGAUUUAAACCUCAAUAUCUAAUGAAUAAA
rnacentral:lncRNA from 1 species